GAAAUGCGAUAAGUAAUGUGAAUUGCAGAAUUCAGUGAAUCAUCGAAUCUUUGAACGCACAUUGCGCCCGGCAGCAAUCUGCCGGGCAUGCCUGUCCGAGCGUCAUUUCUGCCCUCGAGCGCGGUUCGGCCCCUAGCGGGCCGGCCGCCGCCCGGUGUUGGGGCGCUGCGGGCCCUCGUGCCCGCAGGCCCUGAAAUGAAGUGGCGGUCCCGCCGCGGCGCCCCCUGCGUAGUAGUAAAGCACCUCGCAUCGGGUCCCGGCGGAGGCCAGCCGUCGAACCUCUCUUUUGAUGGUUUGACCUCGGAUCAGGUAAGGUUACCCGCUGAACUUAAGC
rnacentral:misc_RNA from 1 species